rnacentral:rRNA from 1 species
GACGAACGCUGGCGGCGUGCCUAAUACAUGCAAGUCGAACGCAGUGGGGACGGGUGAGUAACACGUGGGUAACCUCCCAUCAGAGGGGAUAACACUUGGAAACAGGUGCUAAACCGAUACUGAUGGAUGGAGCCGCGGGGCAUUAGCUCGUUGGUGGGGUAACGGCUCACCAAGGCCACGAUGACGAGCCGACCUGAGAGGGUGACCGGCCACACUGGGACUGAGACACGGCCCAUAAUCCUACGGGAGGCAGCAGUAGGGAAUCUUCGGCAAGGGACGAAAGUCUGACGGAGCAACGCCGCGUGAUUGAAGAAGGUUUUCGGAUCGUAAAACACUGUUGUUAGAGAAGCGUUAUCUAACCAGAAAGCCACGGCUAACUCCGUGCCAGCAGCCGCGGUAAUAC